rnacentral:tRNA from 1 species
UCAGAACUAGCUCACCUGGUAGAGCACAAGACAUUGGAUCUUGAGGAGAAGGUUCGAAUCCUUCGUUCUGACCCG